AGUCCAAUGACAUAGCCAUUACCCUAACUGCUGUUCCCUUUUUCAUUGUAUUUUGAAUAUUUUUAUUAUGAUCUGACUUUCAUACUUUAGUGUUGGCUUAUAAUUCUUGCUCUCACUUUUCCUAUCUUUUAUGUGUUCAUAUCUUUCCCCCACUAAUGAGAAUGUAAAUAUAAACAUAAAUGGGAAUAGUAUAAUAACCCACCCACCUUUUUCUCAUUUUAAAAAUGAUAUAUAUUCACCGAUGAGAAAACACUCAUUUUAAUAAACUCUUAAAAUGUGCCACUGUGCUGGUUCCUUUCAUACGUAGCACAUUGAUCUUUAUGACAACCAUAGAGGUAUGCACUGUGCAGAUCAAAGCUUAGUCAGGCUAAGAACUUUACCUUGCAUUUUACACACAUGCUGAGUUAAAGAAGCAGAACUCGAACAUUGAGACUAUGUCUUUGCCUGCUUUUACCUCUGCACAAUGUGCCAUUUAGAAAAGCAGAAAUGUAGUAAGAAUAUAAAAAUACCCAUAAUUCCAUGACACCAUCUAGAGGCAACCAUUGCUAACGUUUUGGUACAUGACUUUGCAAUCUGUGGAAAGCAACCUCCGCAAAGGCUCCCCAUGAUCCUGCCUCGUGCUAGUCAUGCCCUUGUAUGUGGGCUGCAUUUAGUGACUCACUUCUAACUAAAGGAAUAACACAGAAAUGAUUGGAUGUAACUUCUGAGAUUAGGUAAUAAAAACACUGCAGCAUCCAUUUGGGGUCUCUGUCUCUCUCUGAAAAUAUUCACUCUAGGAGAAGCAAACUUACAUAUUUGAACAGACCGACUGAGAAACCCAUGUGGUAAGGACCAGAGGUGUCUGAUCAAGAGCUAACAAAUUCCCCAGGACCUUCCAACAGCCAAAUGGAUGAGUUUGGAAGCAGGUUCUUCCAGUUAAGGUUCAUGAUGACUUCACUAGUCAACACAUCGAUUCUGACUUUGUGAGAGAGGAAGAGCCAGAGGCACCCAGUUAAGCCUUGCCUGUACCUCGAGUCUAAAGAGCACAUGCCCUAUAGCAAAAAAUCUCCAAAGGAAAAAAAAUAUACUGACAAGCUGACCUUGUCCUAGCCAAGGAUGGAUAAAACAAACAAUAUUAUCACCAAAAACAAAAACAAAGGAGAAGCUAGCCUGAGGACAUUUCUCAGACUUUCACCUGCCAGAUUCAGGAUUAUAUUCUGACAAGAAGAGGUGCAAGUAUGAUAUUUCAAAAGCUGAAGAGAAGAAGGAUUUUUAUUCUCAGCUGGGCCAUCACAAAGGAGGUUAUCAGUAGAUGUGGAUGUUGCCAGUAGCUUCUUUUGGCCCAUCCUUUUGAGAAUGAUCUACUUGAGUGCAACUUCCUAGACUCCAGGUCUUCCAAGCUGCCUAAUCAACAUGAUUCCAAACCCAUCCCAUAGUUGUUUAAGUAUCUGACUCUGUAUUAUUUCUCCAUUCUGCUUGAAACAUGUAAAGAACCUCUUGUCUUCUUUUUCCUGAGUUAGGCAUCAUGUUCUUGACAAUCUUUUAGCACCUUGUUUUGGUUACUGCCUGAAUCAACAACAUAGAGACUGAGUUCGUAGACAGUGAAGUAAAGCAGAAACUUCCAGUUUCUUCAACUAUUGAGAGAAGCCAAAUGUGCUCUCUCUCUCUCUCUUUUUUAAGAAGAAGCUCUGAAGGCAAAUCGAGAGCUUAUGCAGCUGAUGCCUGCUCACUUCAGGAGCUUCUCAGCAGCACACGUAGCAUGAGCACAGCAAGUGGGGACUGAAACUAACGAAACCAACAGUAGUAAAGCCAGAACACUGAUGAGUCAUUUUAGUAUCACAGGGUUAACCACUCAGAUAUAUUGAUACUCUUAGUUUAGACUCAUUGGCCUUUUAAAAAUUACUAUAAUUUUUUUUAAUUGACAGAGGAUGCAUGCAU